UUGAUGGAAUUUUAGCUUCCUCUAAAAGCAGGUGCACGUUAUCACCAUCACCAACGAUGUCAUCAUUUACAAAAGCGUCCUCUAAAAGCAGGUACGCAUCGUCACCAUCACCAACGUUGUCCUCAUUUACAAAAGCUAAACAACCUCACAGACCAUGCUAACGAAAGGAUCAAGAUGAAAAUUCUGAAUUGGCCGUUUAUUUAAUUUCGUCGAUUUCUUACUGUUAAAUGUUUUUUUUUAUGAAAUUAUAAGAACAAUGCGCAUGAUAA